AGCAGCCGCGGUAAUUCCAGCUCCAAUAGCGUAUAUUAAAGUUGUUGCAGUUAAAAAGCUCGUAGUUGAAUUUCGGGGUUCUACCGUUGGUCGGGCUUUGUCUGUACUGGCGUGUAGAAUUUCUACCUUCUGGGGAACUAUCAUGUUAUUAAUUUAGCGUGGUAGGAAACCAGGACCUUUACCUUGAAAAAUUAGAGUGUUCAAAGCAGGCUUAUGUCUGAAUACAUUAGCAUGGAAUAAUAAAAUAGGACGGUGGUCCUGUUUUGUUGGUUUCUGAAUCACCGUAAUGAUUAAUAGGGAUAGUUGGGGCAUUAGUAUUCAAUUGUCAGAGGUGAAAUUCUUGGAUUUAUUGAAGACUAACUACUGCGAAAGCAUUUGCCAAGGAUGUUUUCAUUAAUCAAGAACGAAAGUUAGGGGAUCGAAGACGAUCAGAUACCGUCGUAGUCUUAACCAUAAACUAUGCCGACUAGGGAUCGGACGAUGUUAACUUUUCUUGACUCGUUCGGCGCCUUACGGGAAC
rnacentral:rRNA from 1 species